GUUUACUUUACCAUGACCUCUAAUCAUUAAACUAAAAGAACGUGAUAGCAGUUAGCCUAGCAGCAAUGAAAAUAUAUUUUCCACAUUAUAUUUUCUACUUUAGCUGAUAAUUUAUGUGUGAUAAAUAUGAAAAUAUAGCAAGCAGCCACAGCAUAGCCUAGCAUAGCAUUAAGACCAGAAAAAGGGACAAGUAGUAGCCUGGCAUUUAUUUCAAUUAUCCUAAAACUUUAGGCUAAGCUAACCAGCUGCUACCUGAUUAUAUAAACUUAGCACAAAACGUAAAAACAUUUCUGUUUGAUUAUUGUUUCUUUAUUGUAACAAUGCUUCUUGACAAUAAAUCUCAUACCAGCGGAAAGUCUGCUUAUUUCCCCUUAUAUGGUACCACAUUUAUAAGGACAAUGCUUUUGUGGGUUGAGCAGCAGAGUGAGUAUGUGGCUUGCGCCCAUGUAACAUUUGCCAAAUCUUCUCUGCCAAUACCAAACAGUUUAUUCUGCUAUUGACUUUUGCUUGGUGUUGUAUGUUGGAUUGGAUGAUUGAAGUCUGAAGAAAAAAGACAUAUUAACAAUUUAGUAGCAUGUGGAUGAACCGAACACAGGAAACUCAACUCUGCUGCUCAACCCAUAAAUGUACAAAUGUAGUGUCAUUAAAAGGGAAAUAAAAAAGGACUUCUAAGUGUUUAAGAUUUUUUGCAUUGUUACAACAAAGAAAUAAUCAACCAAACACAAAUUUCCUUACAUUUUGUGCUGAGUUUAUGUAUAUGUAUGUAUGUACGGAGCCGUGCUGAUCUUUUUAUGGAGCUCUCAGCAUGUGAGUAGAAAAGCAAAUUUCAGUAAAUGUUGAACUAUUUCUUGAAAUCAUUCUCUCAAGGCCUCCUGGAGGGUCAAGCUGAGGAGAAUGUGUUGAUUUUUUUGUUAAAUUUAGAUGGCAGGUUGAGCAUUUGAGAAUUUACUGUAGAAAAUCUCAUAUGUCACGGCAAAUGACUGUAGAAAAAAACAAAACAAAACAAAACAAAAGAGCAGCAAAUUUAUUUAUUGACCUAUUUAUUUUCAUUUGUAACUAGGAGAACAUCAGGCAUUUGGUAAUUAAAAGCUGCAUUUUCAAGUACUUGUGCAAAACUAAGCUUGUUUGAAAAACACUGCACACCUCACUCUUAUGAUACUACCCUGUCAAGAUCCCUUUGCUACGGUCUAUGUCGUUAACGAGAGGGGAAAAAACCCCUUUUCUUAACACAAGUUUCUAAUUUCUAUGUAAUCUUUGUCUAAUUUUUAAUAUAACUGUGUGGCGUUCGAAAUGACAAGCAAGUUUUGUUUGUUUUGGAAGUCAGCAUGUUCUCUACGGUUUGUCGUAAUCUUCAUGUAGAAUGUGUUAAUUCAUCAUGCAGUAACACAGUCGGAGCCUUCACAGAGGUAUCGUCAGAUAUCC
ensembl:lncRNA